rnacentral:rRNA from 1 species
UACGGAAGGGGCAAGCGUUGUUCGGAAUCAUUGGGCGUAAAGGGCUCGUAGGCGGCCAACUAAGUCAGACGUGAAAUCCCUAGGCUCAACCUAGGAACUGCGUCUGAUACUGGAUGGCUUGAAUCCGGGAGAGGGAUGCAGAAUUCCAGGUGUAGCGGUGAAAUGCGUAGAUAUCUGGAGGAAUACCGGUGGCGAAGGCGGCAUCCUGGACCGGCAUUGACGCUGAGGAGCGAAAGCUAGGGGAGCAAACGGG